GACUACUUCCUAGCCCAGAUCUCUUCUACUCAUCAUCAAACCGGGCCUCAUAAUGCAAGCUAUAGCCUCAGCUUUUGUUUUUGAGAGGAAAAUUCUUCCUUCGUUUUGUUGAAAAAUACGAAUACAGAAACACAAUCUACCCGAGAGGUGGAGGGAGACCAAACCUGAACAUGGAAGAAAAGGGGGACGACAGAGAAGAGUACAAACAAACAAAAAAGCUUCCUUCAACCAGGAGACUACAUUUCCCAGAGAGCUAUGCGGGGCCAGGAUGUACGUAAUGCGCAGGCUCCGGGGCAUUUCUCCUUUAUAUAAGGAAGGUCCGCGGCCUCUCUUCCUCUUUUUCGUCUCCGCUUUCUUUGUGUGUGUUUUGCAGCGUUCUUCAUCCGCAGCCAUCGUGGUCCAGGAAUGCCCCCCCUUGCUGGACUCCUUCUAGAAGUAAGAGGGAGGCAUGUUACGGGGUUUUGGAGACCUUGGUGUUUAGGCACCAUGACCCCAUGCUCGAUUCUCUUCUGGUUUCAUCAGACUUGAUGCCCAUUCUGGCGAUUUGAUUUGGACCAGAUUGUUGCAUUUGCCUAACAGUCCCUGGGAGUAUUGACUUGAUGCCCAUUCUGGCGAUUUGAUUUGGACCAGAUAGUUGCAUUUGCCUAACAGUCCCUGGGAGUAUUGGUUAGCUCUUUAAAUGAGCAAAAGUUUAGGGUGUAAGUGAUGUCUGACACCUUACAGACCAGAAGAAUGAUUGAUGUUCAAAGUAGCCACUUUCAUUAAAGGUACUUAAGAUUGGUGGAUGACUAAGUGAAAUGAAGAGAAAUUUGGAGACCUGAAAAAUCUGAGGUAUGGCCUUAGAUGAAGAGACAACCUUUGAUUAUGAAUAUGAAACAUGGACCUGACUGUUCCAGCUGUUAUUAACACAAUAGUCUUGUUUUACAUUUUGCAAAGAAAUAAAAAAUUUUAACUUUGAG